rnacentral:rRNA from 1 species
UACGGGGGGGGCAAGCGUUGUUCGGAAUUACUGGGCGUAAAGGGCUCGUAGGUGGCCAACUAAGUCAGACGUGAAAUCCCCAGGCUCAACUUGGGAACUGCGUCUGAUACUGGAUGGCUUGAAUUCGGGAGAGGGAUGCAGAAUUCCAGGUGUAGCGGUGAAAUGCGUAGAUAUCUGGAGGAACACCGGUGGCGAAGGCGGUUCUCUGGGCAUUACCUGACGCUGAGGAGCGAAAGUGUGGGGAGCGAACAGG